UUUUUUUUUUUUUCGGAGAUCUUUCGUCUGUGUUUAUUUUUUUUCAUAUAAAAGUUACAUGUUUGAAAUGUCUGCAGGAAGAUGCCACCAUCAGACAGGUUAGCUGGGGCAUAUAUAUUACAAUGUAACCCUGUGGAGGUCGUGGGGCUGGAGCGGGAGACGCUCCCCAGAAUUGGGUUUAGGUCAGACAUGGUGUGUGCCUGCCCCUCCUUGCCAACCCCGACGACACCUGCAGGUGAGGCCUGACCUCUGCAAGGAACGAGUCCUCUGCCUGGCUCCUGUCUGUUUGUGAAGACUGAUUCCCACAACCUGCCCGGCCCCCCAGAAGGAACAGACAAGCCAUGGCCAGGCCGCAGCACUGAGCACAGAGCUCAGCAAUAACCAGGGCCAGGAGCAGGGGGCGCAGGGGCACGCCUGCCAUCAGUAAAUGAGACAUACAUCGCACCUUGCCGUCCUCACGCAGGGAGCCCCGGGCACUGCUCAUGUGCUGCCUGGGCCCCGCUGCUCAGACCACCAAGGGCUCCCAACAAGGGCCUGGGGAGUUGCUUGGGCACACUGGGGCCAGGCACAGGGUCUGUUCUGAAUUCAGGGAAGGUGAAGAGACCCCCACCUCCACCUGGCUCAAGCCCAAGAACAAGGCAGACAGAGCUGUGGACAGCACCCGACCACAGACACGGUUCCACCUGCUGCUGGGGGGAGAGGCCUGGUUUCUGAGGCUGCAGCAUGGCACUGGCAUUGCCUGUGCUCCAGAGGGGGACUCCUACGAGUCUCACAAAUACAGGGAGAAUUUCAGUUCGCACAAACCCAAGGGCCCUGUGUGCAGAGAGGCCCUCACACGCGCACAGCAGCAUUCAACAGAGCUGGGCAAGGGAAGGGGAGAGAGAGGCAAGGAUUGAAAUGAAGGGACUUCAAAAAGAAGGAACAAACUAAAAACCCAACCCACACACAAUACUGUUAAUAAGCCAGCGACUCUACACACACACUCCUUAAAUAAUAAAGUGACAGGUCCCGGCUGGCCCUGCAGGACCACCGCCAGAGGGGGUCCCGCCGCCAGAGGGGGUCCCGCCUGCCACUGCACGGCUUUCCUCCCUCUAUCUACAGGACAAACAAAACAUGGGAGAGGGGAAAAAACCCACAUUUUCUUCUUGAUAAAUGCUGUUCAAAAACCCACGAAGGACUCAAAGUGACAUGGUUGUUUUAAAAAAAAACCCAAAUGAUCAACAGAUGUUGCUUUCUACGUUUUGCCUUUGUUCUGUUUGAACUGGGCUAAGCAUAGUUAGACCCUGCUGUUCACUUGACCCUGCUGUCCUAAACCUGGGACAAAUGAGCACUCAUUCAUGCACAGCAGACCCGGAGGCAUGGGCUGGGGCAGCACGACUGGGUUCCCGCAGUGCCCUGCCUGCAGGCUCAUGCUGGAGGCCACAGAGCCGGGCGGCACAGGGCAGGUUCUGUUUGCCAAGCGCCCCACAAGCCUUGCCCAGAUUGUCAAGCUCAGCAGCGAGAACGGUUUUGACGAGGAGGAGGGAAAGAGCAUCUGCUCUGCAAGCCGCUCUAGUGUGGCGAGAGUAGGGAGAGGGCGCACCUGCUGCAGCUGCUACCUUAGGAGGCUCCUCCGCGGCCAGGCCUCUGCCUCCCUGCACCCCGAGGGCCCAUUCGGGUGCCUCAGGGAUGCCCUUCCCUCCCAGGGGCACUGACAGCACUGGCUGAAAGGUCUGAAGAGCCAGAGGAGGAGCCCUGCUGGCCGGCCCAGGAUGGGGCGAGGAGGGAGGGAAGGCCAGGGGAUGGGGAGGGACAGGAGAUGGAGUUUAAGGCACACAGCGAGCGAUGGAGGAGGGAGGUGCUGGCCUCUCCCCUCUGAACUAACUCCCCCAGGAGCUCAGCUCUGGCCUCAGUUUGGUGAGGUUCAGAAGACUCCCAGCAAUAAAAAGUACUUCUUGGAUGAUCAAGUCCUCCCUUACUCCAGCCUCCUCUGCUCAGCUCCCCGGGUGGUGUGGGAGGGGCCCAGUGGCCUGGGGUGGGGGGUAAGGGGCGACAGGAUGACAGACACUGCUGCUGCUCUCAGCGGGCAAGGGAGGCCCUGAUGGCGCCAGUACCGCGGUGCAGAGCACCAGCUGCUAAGGGGUCACCUGCGUACCUUUCCGGGCCUGCUGCAAAGCUCACACCAUCCUCCAUG
ensembl:lncRNA